rnacentral:lncRNA from 1 species
CUUGCUGAGUGACGAAUCAUGACGAAUCGCGCUUACGCUAAAAACAAUGGAGAUGGGCUUCUGUGUAGUAUUCUGUGUCUGAGAUCGUUGGUUCAACUAACAGUCGGUCAACGUUCUGCCGAAAGUCGUUGGUUUUCUCCGGGCGCUCCGGUUUCCUCCCACGGGGAAAGUUGACAGGGUGGGUUUGGAUAAGUAAGAAAGUAAUAUCACAAUUAUAAGUUCUUUGUAUGUUUGCAUGGCGAUAAAACAUAUAAUAGUUUUGUUUGUGAAAACACCACGUAAAUUUAUUACUGCAAAGCUUUCGAUCCGUAAGCCCGGAUCUUCAUCAGUGCUAAUAAUAGAUAGCUUAAGAUCUACGACGUCGACGUCAGCUAGGACUUCAGGGCUAAGCAGAGGACUGGGACUAGGAUGUCGUCCUAAAUAAGUAUAGAUAGCUCAAUAUCGACGACGUCAAAUAUUUAGGGCGGCAAGCGGAAGUAAAUUGGUAAUAGUUUUUGAAGUGUGCAUGUGUGUCUAUCAAUUUACUCGUCGUCCACCAAACGUCGACAACCUCAUAACAAGAGUUUUACCGUCGUGGAUACAAGAGCAUAGCAAACGGUAAUGAAUUCAUGUAUCUCUUUAAAAUUCAUUUUCAAAAGAAUGUAAAUAUUUAUAGUUUAAACUGUCGACGUCGUGAACCUUAAGUGGAAGUUUAUUUAUUUAGGACGACGUCCUAGUCCCAGUCCUUUGCUUAGCCCUGACGUCCUAGCUGACGUCGACGUCGUAGAUCUUAAGCUAUCUAAUAUGUGACUUGUUUAAUUCACACGCCCUUUUUAUAUACAAAAGUGUCGUGAUCUGUUGGCUCGCGUCAUUUGAAAUUUAAUUAAACGGUACAUCAACCACGUCAUUGCAAACGUAGUGAAGUGAUUCCAAUUAACGCGCGCGCAUCCAAUACUAUACUAUAGAUAAGGACAAUACUAUAGAUCAGGAGGGAAAGCCACUAGAUAGUACGUGGCGUGCUCUCUUUAAUGUGCAAAAUUAAUUUCUCUUGUCUUGGAUGCGCGCACGUUAAUUGGAAUCACUUCACUACGUUUGCAAUGACGUGGUUGAUGUACCGUUUCAUUAAACAAGUCGCAUAUUAUUAGCACUGAUGAAGAUCUGGGCUUACGGAUCGAAAGCUUUGCAGUAAUAAAUUUACGUGGUGUUUCCACAAACAAAACUAUUAUAAUAUCACAAUUGUUGUAAAGAUAAAAUAUAAGCAAAGUAUGUAAUUUGGUAAGCGUAUAAUACUUGAUGUAACGGGCAUUUGAUCAUAUAUCCAAAUGUAAGUUUGCGCUAUAGAAAUGCUAAUCUUAAUCUUCUUAAUCUUAAUAUUUAGAAAUAAUGAAAAACUGUUUGGUAUUGGCCAACCUUCUGUACCUUCAACAGCCGGCGAUCCAGCCGUUCCGCACGUUGUAACCAAUAAUAUAUUGGCGUUGUAAAGCCGUUGUAUGCAAUUAAGUAUUGGGUUGUUAUGGGUCUACAAUCACAAUAACCCUAAUCCAAACGCUAACCUCUGACCUCUAACCCCAACCUCGUGCCCAGGAAGCAGAAUGCCCUGAGUACGAGGUUGCUAUAACCCCUGACCCUAAAGUUGAUGACCUUUUCUUAGUAAUCUCCCCACCUCGGGACGACCUACCUCGCUUUUAGGGCCAUAUUUAUAACUAAAACUUUUGUCCAAUGCUUGUGGUUUUGUCUGCAGUUACAACGCAAUACUUUAUUGCAUACAAUGGCUUUACAACGCCAAUAGAUUAUUGGUUACAACGUGCGGAACGGUGAACAAUCAAACAUGUGACGCAUUAGUGCUCAAAAACAGGACACAGUACACCCUUCCGGAAAGUACCUCACCUUGGCUGUAGAGCCUCGUUCUUGUAUUUGCGACGUUGCGCUUUAACUAAUGUCACAUACAUCAUAUAGCCAAACUGAUUACUUUCCGAAAAUGUGUAUUACACGCGUAAAAAUUGAGAAAAUCAACAACUUGUUCCAGGUUGAUAUCAUUAACAGGCGUGAACAAGGUUGUGCGGCCCACUAUGAACAGUAUUGUCAACAUGUUGUUACAGCAUUGUUCAACUGUAACAACUUGGAACAACAUGGUUGACAACUUGUUCGUAGUUGGCCGCACAACAUUGUUCACGCCUGUUGAUAUCAACUUGGAACAACCUGUGCGUUUUUAGCCGUGUAGCGAGCAGUCCAGCCUUAUACAUGUCAGCAGUCAUCGCUGACAGGGCAUACUUCCUGUAGCCCUUCAUGAUCACGAAAUGUAUAAUUUUGAUAAACAACAGGAAGGUGGUAUAUUACUAUAUUUUACACUCCGGAAUGUAUCUAUAAACAUUGUACAAUAGUUCAGGGUAAGUGUUGGGGUUAGGGCGGGGAUUACGAUAUACCUAUUUAUUUCAUGAAGGACUAUAUGAAGUACAAACCCAAUCGACUGCA